rnacentral:rRNA from 1 species
GAGUUUGAUCCUGGCUCAGAUUGAACGCUGGCGGCAGGCCUAACACAUGCAAGUCGAACGGUAACAGGAAGAAGCUUGCUUCUUUGCUGACGAGUGGCGGACGGGUGAGUAAUGUCUGGGAAACUGCCUGAUGGAGGGGGAUAACUACUGGAAACGGUAGCUAAUACCGCAUAACGUCGCAAGACCAAAGAGGGGGACCUUCGGGCCUCUUGCCAUCGGAUGUGCCCAGAUGGGAUUAGCUAGUAGGUGGGGUAACGGCUCACCUAGGCGACGAUCCCUAGCUGGUCUGAGAGGAUGACCAGCCACACUGGAACUGAGACACGGUCCAGACUCCUACGGGAGGCAGCAGUGGGGAAUAUUGCACAAUGGGCGCAAGCCUGAUGCAGCCAUGCCGCGUGUAUGAAGAAGGCCUUCGGGUUGUAAAGUACUUUCAGCGGGGAGGAAGGGAGUAAAGUUAAUACCUUUGCUCAUUGACGUUACCCGCAGAAGAAGCACCGGCUAACUCCGUGCCAGCAGCCGCGGUAAUACGGAGGG